AACGAACGCUGGCGGCAGGCCUAACACAUGCAAGUCGAACGCGCGUAGCAAUACGCGAGUGGCGCACGGGUGAGUAACACGUGGGAACCAACCCAGAGGUUCGGAAUAACCGCGGGAAACUGCGGCUAAUACCGGAUAUCCCCUACGGGGAAGGAUUAUCGCCUCUGGACGGGCCCGCCGUCCGAUUAGCUAGUUGGUGAGGUAAUGGCUCACCAAGGCGACGAUCGGUAGCUGGUCUGAGAGGACGACCAGCCACACUGGAACUGAGACACGGUCCAGACUCCUACGGGAGGCAGCAGUGGGGAAUAUUGGGCAAUGGAGGGCAACUCUGACCCAGCCAUGCCGCGUGGGUGACGAAGGUCUUCGGAUUGUAAAGCCCUUUCGGCGGGGACGAUGAUGACGGUACCCGCAGAAGAAGCCCCGGCUAACUUCGUGCCACGCCGCCGC
rnacentral:rRNA from 1 species